rnacentral:rRNA from 1 species
UGGGGAAUAUUGCGCAAUGGGCGAAAGCCUGACGCAGCAACGCCGCGUGGAGGAUGAAGGCCCUCGGGUCGUAAACUCCUGUCAGGUGGGAAGAAGGCUUGUCGGUUAAGAGCUAACAAGUUUGACGGUACCACCAAAGGAAGCCCCGGCUAACUCCGUGCCAGCAGCCGCGGUAAUACGGAGGGGGCAAGCGUUAUUCGGAUUUAUUGGGCGUAAAGGGCGCGUAGGCGGCAAGAUAAGUCGAAGGUGAAAUCCCACGGCUCAACCGUGGAACUGCCUUCGAAACUGUCUAGCUAGAGUCCGGGAGAGGGUAGCGGAAUUCCCAGUGUAGCGGUGAAAUGCGUAGAUAUUGGGAGGAACACCAGUGGCGAAGGCGGCUACCUGGACCGGUACUGACGCUGAGGUGCGAAAGCGUGGGGAGCAAACAGGAUUAGAUACCCCCGUAGUCC